rnacentral:rRNA from 1 species
UACGUAGGGGGCGAGCGUUAUCCGGAUUCACUGGGUGUAAAGGGAGCGUAGACGGCCAUGCAAGCCUGGAGUGAAAGCCCGGGGCCCAACCCCGGGACUGCUCUGGGAACUGUGCGGCUGGAGUGCGGGAGGGGCAGGCGGAAUUCCUGGUGUAGCGGUGAAAUGCGUAGAUAUCAGGAGGAACACCAGUGGCGAAGGCGGCCUGCUGGACGACAACUGACGGUGAGGCGCGAAAGCGUGGGGAGCAAACAGG